AUGCAGUCGCACGGACCUUUCGGGGUGAGUGGCGGACGGGUGAGUAUCGCGUAGGGAUCUAUCCAUGGGUGGGGGAUAACAUCGGGAAACUGGUGCUAAUACCGCAUGAUACCUGAGGGUCAAAGGCGCAAGUCGCCUGUGGAGGAGCCUGCGUUCGAUUAGCUUGUUGGUGGGGUAAAGGCCUACCAAGGCGAUGAUCGAUAGCUGGUCUGAGAGGAUGAUCAGCCACACUGGGACUGAGACACGGCCCAGACUCCUACGGGAGGCAGCAGUGGGGAAUAUUGGACAAUGGGCGAAAGCCUGAUCCAGCAAUGCCGCGUGUGUGAAGAAGGUCUUCGGAUUGUAAAGCACUUUCGACGGGGACGAUGAUGACGGUACCCGUAGAAGAAGCCCCGGCUAACUUCGUGCCAGCAGCCGCGGUAAUACGAAGGGGGCUAGCGUUGCUCGGAAUGACUGGGCGUAAAGGGCGCGUAGGCGGUUUACACAGUCAGAUGUGAAAUUCCAGGGCUUAACCUUGGGGCUGCAUUUGAUACGUGUAGA
rnacentral:rRNA from 1 species